AAUUCAUGUACAAAGAUUACAUCUCAUGGAGUGUUAGAGAACUACUCACAUAUUGGUUUAACCCCGGAAGCGACGGAAACUGUGGUUUCCGCGUUAUAGCACACAUUGUUUAUGAAAAUCAAGAACGGUACCCAGAGAUAAGGGAAGAUCUUUAGGGGUUUGUGUCAACGGGGUGGUACUCCGGGUACGAAAAAGUGUACGCAACAUCGGGCCAGAACCGAGACUAUGUUCAAAGAAGACUACUAGGUACUACAGGGAUUUGCGAACCGGAAUUCUGGAUGUGGGAUCUCGAUCUUAUCAGACUUGUAUCCCGCUAAAAUUGGGCUUUCGUGGUGUACGCAUCAGCUAGGGAACCAAUUAGCCAGCACACAUACGAAACGACGUACUUAGCGCUGCAUGCUCCUCUCGUUCAGCAUCCAGAUCGAGUUGUAAAGUUGAUUUGCACGAGUAACCAUUGGUUGUAGAUACAGUUGAUGGAGGUCGACGGGGUGACGCCCAUGCCGCCUUUCCAUCCGGUUUGGGAAGGGGCCGAGGGUGGUAUUAAUUAUCACCUAUUUAAUUACUAAUUCACUAAACUAUAUAUAAACCCUAAUUACAUUUAAAUGAUAUAAACCGUAUUUUUUUCCGUACCUCGACGGCGGUGGAAGGAGAGUGUUUUCAAGGAGGGGAGUGUUUUUC
rnacentral:lncRNA from 1 species